rnacentral:sRNA from 1 species
GUCAUUGUCUUAACCUAUGUCAGGGUGUCGAUGUUCCCGGGAAUGUGUGGAGAAUUUUCAGCUCGGGACAGGCUCUUAAAAUGACCAUAAAGCAAAUUGUGAAAAAUUAUUGUGUAUAUAAAAUUUAAUGACAUGUCAAAAAGGAUAUCCGGCAUACGCUGCUCACUUUUGUUGCUGGGUUCGUUGUUGUUGUCACUGUUCGUUGACGAGCUGGACAAAUGGCCAAGGUCCUGUGGCCAUCAGAUCUUCGUGGGCGGACGUGUAAUGUCCUCUCGACUGUUGGAUCAACAAAUUACACCCACUUCAGUAAUGAGAGGCCAUUAAAUGAUAAAUUAUGGCUGGCAGUCACAUGAACUUUUUGAAUUUUAAUCAAGCUAAAAUUUCCAGCCAGUUGCCAUCGGGUCAGGGUCGAAGGCCAUAAUUUCACUUUCAUUACAGCCGCUGCUCCUUGGAAUGUCCUGUUAAUGUGCCAUGCUCGAGUGGAGCAUAAAUCUAUUCAUGCGGUCCUCCGCAGCUCGAACCCUUGUUGGAUGUGGGUCCUGUCUGGAGUUAUCGGAUCGUAUAAUUUAGCGCAGAUAAUUGUUUUAAUGAUGUCAUAAUUUCGGCAUGAUGGCGUGCUUACAAAAUGGCUCCAACUGAUUUAUGCUGCCCCACAGCCCUUCUUCUCCAGAGAUUUGUGGGCCGCUGCCCAGUCCCUCGAGUGGUGGCGUCAGGCCGGGGGCUGUGCACUUGUAGAUACCACAGAUAGUGGCAUACGUAACCAGUUUGCCGCUCGACAAAAGAGUAAAUAACGGCAUUGUAUGAUUUAUGUGUCCGAACGAAAGGCAACAAAAUGGUUCACAGUCAAAAAAACAAUUGUC